GGAGAGAAUAACCUCCAGAUCAGCCAGCACUGAGAUGAAUGUAAUUAAAGCUUUUUUACUGAAGACAUUAACACCAAAUAUUCCCUAAAGUACUGACUGUAGAGUUCUACAUUGCCAUGAGGUGAAUUUUGGAAAUUCAAAUUUAUAUACACUGAAAGAACAUAAUUAAAUUGAAAACCUGGAAAAGUUCCAUGUGACAUAUUUGGCAAUGGUUCUGCACCAGGCAACUGGUCUGUGCAGUGUUGAUUUAGGGAAAGACCUUGCAUAUGCACACAUGCCUAUUAGUAAGUGAAGCAGAACAUGAACAUGUAUUGAAAAUGUUGUACACACGUUGGAUUUUUAUUUCUGAAUUGCAGGUUUUCCAAUUAUAUAAAAUAUUUUAAAAUUAAUUUAUUAGGUUUUUGAGAAUGACGUCAUGCAGUCUUACUGUGGAAUUUAAAACACCUUGUGUUAUCACAGUAAGCUGUAAGUUGAAUGCCUUCCAAAGUACGAAUCUUGGCAGAGAAUCGCCAUUAGACCUGCCGUAGAUACAAUGCCACGUAGCAUCCUCCUCACGUUUGAAAUAUGGCUCAGAAUCACCCACACACACAUCCAUUAUACUCCAUAAACAUAUCUGUUUCCUUACUGCUGUCAUUUAGAGUGGGCAUUUGCCUAUAUGUGAAAGUUUUGAUUUUACUGUAAUUAUUAUUUGCAUUAGUGUUAUAGCUAAGAUUUCCUGCCAUUAGCUUCUUUUGCAAUGUGUUAUAAAUAUCAAAGCAGCACACUUUCAGCUGAAGAGAGUCCAUUUUAGCAGUAGCCACUGUACAAGCACAGAACAAAAGGGCACUUUCUCCUCCAGAGAUCAUGCCCUGAAAGCCUAAGUACACUUUUGGAUAGGCCUGAAUAAGGCUGUGCCGUGUGAGGACACACAGGAGAAAAUGGAAGGGAAGAAGAAAGUUGGUACUUCAGUUAUGGUAGUAAAAAGCUACAUAUCUCAGUGCGGGAUGUAAGAGCUGUGUGUAUAUAUUGGUAGGUCUGCGUGUGCUAAGCUGUAGAUUUUCACCCAAUGCAAUCAUUCUUCUGAUUUCUCUUGGACCAUCGGCUAUGCCGAGCUGGAACCAUCUCCUGGUAGCUGAAUUUCAAGCUCUGUCCAAACGCUUCAUCAGAAUAAGAAAUGGUAUGUAUGGGCAUACUCUGAUCAACCUCAAAGCCAAGAGGAGGUACACAUUAUCUGAAACUAUUACUAUUCAUGGAAGGUUUUGAUCUUCAGAGGGUUUGCAAAACUAAAUCAGCAGAGUGGGGGGAAGCAGUAUUUCCUGGGGAUAACCAUCUUGGCAGGCUCCAGAGCAGGACAUGAUCCAAACUGGUGUGUAUGGCACAUCAGUAGAUGGAUGUCUGCAGGUUGGGGACCAUGCUGCUCACCGGGGAUGGCAACGAGGAAUCACAGCCAGUCCCAGGCAGCCAGCAACCACAACAGCAGCCUGCGAAAUCUUGUUUGAGUUAUCUUCCAGCUUCAUUUUUCUGAUACACAAGUGUCAGAUGUGCUUGGUUAAUGAACAUUCACCAAGAUAAGACUGAAUGUAUUUUAUGAACAGAAUGAAAAUCUCGGUUUAUGGUUGUAUCAAAGAAAGACUCUAGUCCCUGUGUUUGAAAAGUCUAAGAAUGUGUACAUUCAGUAACUCCUGUACCCUGAAGUCUAAGACUUCAGCAGGGAAAUAAAAAGGAUACCACCUUUCUUGGUUUUAAAAAUCUCAUGA